CGGGCAUCACGGUCCUACCGACAUGUGAUGUCAUGCCCAGAGGCCCAGCUGUAAAAUUCCUCUCUUUAUACUGCUGCCUUUAUUUCUCAGCCGGCCAACACUUACGGAAAAUAGAACCUACAUUGAAAUUCCUGUUUCCACUCUGGCUGGAAAAGUAUAAUGUUGGUUCGAGAUCAAGAAGGAAUCUGGAUACCAUGUGCCAGACCAGUCAAAGAAUCCUGUGUCAAAACUGGGAGAACGAACAAGCCUUCAUCGCCAUGGCACAUUUAUAUAAAAAGAAAGGGAGAGAUGUUGCGGGAAGUCAGGGACCCCAAACGGAGGGACCGGCUGGAGCUGCGGCAGAGGAACAUAAAUUGUGAAGAUUUCAUUUUAAUAUGGACAUUUAUCAGUUCCCAAAUAAUACUUUUAUAAUUUUUUAUGCCUGUCUUUAAUCUCUUAAUCCUGUUAUCUUUGUAAGCUGAGGAUGUACGUCACCUCAGGACCACUG
rnacentral:lncRNA from 1 species